rnacentral:tRNA from 1 species
GCCCGGGUGGCGAAGUUGGUAGACGCACAGGACUUAAAAUCCUGCGGUUGCGAGACCAUACGGGUUCGACCCCCGUCCCGGGCA